CAGUCGAACGAACUCUGGUAUUGAUUGGUGCUUGCAUCAUGAUUUACAUUUGAGUGAGUGGCGAACUGGUGAGUAACACGUGGGAAACCUGCCCAGAAGCGGGGGAUAACACCUGGAAACAGAUGCUAAUACCGCAUAACAACUUGGACCGCAUGGUCCGAGCUUGAAAGAUGGCUUCGGCUAUCACUUUUGGAUGGUCCCGCGGCGUAUUAGCUAGAUGGUGGGGUAACGGCUCACCAUGGCAAUGAUACGUAGCCGACCUGAGAGGGUAAUCGGCCACAUUGGGACUGAGACACGGCCCAAACUCCUACGGGAGGCAGCAGUAGGGAAUCUUCCACAAUGGACGAAAGUCUGAUGGAGCAACGCCGCGUGAGUGAAGAAGGGUUUCGGCUCGUAAAACUCUGUUGUUAAAGAAGAACAUAUCUGAGAGUAACUGUUCAGGUAUUGACGGUAUUUAACCAGAAAGCCACGGCUAACUACGUGCCAGCAGCCGCGGUAAUACGUAGGUGGCAAGCGUUGUCCGGAUUUAUUGGGCGUAAAGCGAGCGCAGGCGGUUUUUUAAGUCUGAUGUGAAAGCCUUCGGCUCAACCGAAGAAGUGCAUCGGAAACUGGGAAACUUGAGUGCAGAAGAGGACAGUGGAACUCCAUGUGUAGCGGUGAAAUGCGUAGAUAUAUGGAAGAACACCAGUGGCGAAGGCGGCUGUCUGGUCUGUAACUGACGCUGAGGCUCGAAAGUAUGGGUAGCAAACAGGAUUAGAUACCCUGGUAGUCCAUACCGUAAACGAUGAAUGCUAAGUGUUGGAGGGUUUCCGCCCUUCAGUGCUGCAGCUAACGCAUUAAGCAUUCCGCCUGGGGAGUACGGCCGCAAGGCUGAAACUCAAAGGAAUUGACGGGGGCCCGCACAAGCGGUGGAGCAUGUGGUUUAAUUCGAAGCUACGCGAAGAACCUUACCAGGUCUUGACAUACUAUGCAAAUCUAAGAGAUUAGACGUUCCCUUCGGGGACAUGGAUACAGGUGGUGCAUGGUUGUCGUCAGCUCGUGUCGUGAGAUGUUGGGUUAAGUCCCGCAACGAGCGCAACCCUUAUUAUCAGUUGCCAGCAUUAAGUUGGGCACUCUGGUGAGACUGCCGGUGACAAACCGGAGGAAGGUGGGGAUGACGUCAAAUCAUCAUGCCCCUUAUGACCUGGGCUACACACGUGCUACAAUGGAUGGUACAACGAGUUGCGAACUCGCGAGAGUAAGCUAAUCUCUUAAAGCCAUUCUCAGUUCGGAUUGUAGGCUGCAACUCGCCUACAUGAAGUCGGAAUCGCUAGUAAUCGCGGAUCAGCAUGCCGCGGUGAAUACGUUCCCGGGCCUUGUACACACCGCCCGUCACACCAUGAGAGUUUGUAACACCCAAAGUCGGUGGGGUAACC
rnacentral:rRNA from 1 species